GACGAUUCUCGUAACUCCAAAUAUUCGUAACUUGACAGUUGUGUGUAUAAAAUCCCAUAAGAACUGUCAAGUUACGAAUUCUUAAAGUUACGAUCGCUACGAGAAUCUACGUCCAGAACACGAUUUUAGGAUUUUCGUAAUCUUCAAAUAU